UAGUGCAAUAAUAUCUAGCUAAUCUAUUAAGGAAGCUUAAUAGAUCCUUCCUUAAUAUAUUAAGGAAGCUAAUUGAAUAUCUGUUCCCCUUUCCAUUUUCUUUCUGUAACCCAAUUUCUUCUUCUUCCUGUAGUGGUGAGUUAGGACAGACGAGACAGAAAAAACACUGAUCAUGUCUUUUUGCUGUUCUUGCAAUAAUUAAUAAGGAGCUGUUUGAGUGAAAAUCACCGAUCACUGCUUGGUAAUUAAUAGCAGGUAACGUUUGUACAAUUAAACAAGCUCAAAUGGGCAACAUUAACAAUGAUAACAUUUAAAAAUAUACACAAAACAUAACAAGUUUACUGAAGAAACACUGCACACUAUCACAUUUGUCCAAAAAUAUAUUGUAAAAUGUGAUAUUUGUGAAGAAAACACAGAGCUUAUUCUAAUAGAUGCCACAGUUAACGGACAUCAACAGAGAAAGGAGACGAGCUGUCAGUUACCGGUUACUAUGGUAACCACCCACCGCCAAGAGCAACAUGACAAAACCAAUAUGUCACCAAUAAAUGACUUGUAAAAAAAUAAAGUCAAAGAACAAAUAAACAAAUUUGGACAAACUUCACAUUUACAACAUUGUUGCAUUAAAACCAUGUUACAUAUACAUCACAUUUUUCACUGUGUGCCAAAUUUAUUGGCUCUCACUCUGAAAAGUGUGUUGAUUUUUAGAUCACUAGAGUAUUCGUUACUUUAUUUUGAUUCCAGAACCAUUCAGACGAGCCUUGUACUGUAGUUCUUGAGAUACAUUGGAUCAUUGGACCUGUCAUAUCAUGUCAAGAAGGAUGAUGACCUUUGACUUCCUCAUCACAGUCGAGGAAAGAUUGACCUUAAUGCUGCAACAGCUGUGAUCAGUUUCAACCAAUCUAUAUUCAUUAACAAAUGAUCUCAGAAAAUUUAUCUUUUUUAUGUUGUGACUUAUUAUUUUUGUUUCUUCAGUAACAUUUUGCUGAAUUUGACCAGAUGGUGGCGCUCUGAGAUUAUAAAUCCCUAGUUCUGCUUGAACUACGUCUAUGAACAUUUUGAUUUCCUUUAAAAAGAUCUGAAUGUAUAAACUUAAUUAAAUGUUUGCCACCUUAAAAUCUCAGACUUUUCUAGCCUAAAACUAACCUUCACUGCUGCAGAAUCUGUCUAAAAUCUGCUUAGUAAAGUGGAUUUUUAUUUGUUCAGGAAGUGAUUCUGUGGUUUAAUCUGACAGUUUUAGUCACAACAAGGCGGAUCAUUCCUGAGGCGGAAGGUGUGGCUUCGGCUCAGUCAAAGUAAGGAUCAGUCUAAAGAUUUCUCUUUUGAAGAUCAGCACCGAGGGACGGAGCAGUUCGUUUUGAUUCUGUGAUUAAGAGGAAACUCCUGAAAAGUAACGAACUAAACUAACUAAGCGUUGAAGGUAAAUAAAAAAUGUGGAGAAUUGUCCCGUUGUUAUCGGUGCUGAUCGGGGCUCUGUGUCCUGCUGCACAGGGAAGACCUCCGCUCGAUGUGAACGACACUCAGCAACAAUACCAGGCAGACGAACACUCGAACAUCACACUGACGGUUUUGUGUCCAGUUAAUUCUUCCUCUGACUGGCUGAACAUUGAUCUGAUGACCGUCAGGCCACUGAGGAGUAUUUAUCAGUAUGACAGCAGAUUUCAGCCUGACCCGCACACAGAUGAUCAGUUCAAAGGUCGACUCCAGUGCGACCCCCAGCUCAGGAACGGGAGGGUUGAGUGUCUCCUGUCUGACCUGAGGCAGAGCGACGCAGGACGGUAUCAGUGGAUUGUUGCCACUAAAGGAAGAAGUAACCUCACAAAACUGGAGCUUGUAGUCAGAGCUGUCAUGUCUCAAACUCAGGAAGAACCUUCAAAGCCAACAGAACGGGAAAGGAUUGGGUUGUAUAUGGCCUUUGGUUUACUUGCAGUGGUAAUAGUUUGCCUUUUCUUGGGCAACAUCAUUACAUUUUGCAACUUUACCCGGUUGAUCAGUUGUCUGAGAGACAACUUAUCUCAGAAAAACUAAGUAUUCAAGCAGUGAGCUCGCAGGUUUCGCACACAGCAGCCAGCGUAGCUUCACGGCACCUAACCACUUCAGCUGUGCAACUACCUCAUUCAAUGUUCAAACAGCUGUAGUGGUGGUUACUGUUUGAUAUGUUUAUGGUUUACGAACCAUGUUUCUCUCUAUGGUUUUAAUGAAAACCAUUUUUCUUCCCAUUUUCAUGGGGUUUCAAGCACUCAGUGUCCAUAGUCUGACUGAUUCUCAGCAGCUAAAAAUGGUAUAAAGCCAACGGCUUAGUAGAAAAAUAAGCUCAAUCUCUGGCUUCUUAUAGCAUUACAGAGAAUGCAUUAUUUAUUCCACGGAAUAAAAAAUGCAACCUGCACAAGUAUUCAUGUGAUGUUCAAGCACAGUAUUUUAUGUAGCUACGGUUCUACUGAUACCCACAAAGCGUUGGGAAGAAGUACUUUCAAAGUGUUUUACACACUCAACCAAGAAAACAGUAUUGUAACCUACAAAUUGUAGUAAUUUUGCACUUUAUUCUUGGGAAAAAAACACUUUGUUCAAUUUAUUGUGCCUAAGAAGUGUCGGAAAUUCACAUUUACGUGAUCACUCAACAGCGACAUUUCAAGUGGAUGCAAAAGAAAGAAAAAAAGUCAGACCUACAAGUGAUGCAUAAAUGCACAUUGCUGGUCAAAACGAGAUGCAGUCAUGGUAAAAAGAAAGUACACCCACUUUCAGUUUUAGGGCUUGAUGUGUGAGAACAUGAUCAAAACAUAUAUCUGAUCUCAUUUAAAUCUAACUGCUACUGUGCACAAACACAACAGGGUUCAUAUGUCAAUAUUUAGUAAACAAACAUGUUGCAAACAUGGAAAAAUAUCAGCAGUGAUCUCAGAAAAGAGAACAAUGCUGUUCUGCAAUCUAGACAAAAAGGAGGCUGUCUGCAGAAAGUGUGGCUCUUUCUGUGACCGUUUUGUAAAAGCUGAAGAGAGUCUGCGCCGUUGUAGGGAAGGUGUGCGCGAAUACAAACGUGUCGAAACCACGUGACUGCGCUUCGACUGUUUGGCUUUGGGUGAAACAUGUCGGCGCCCUUAGAGAAACGGCAAAAUACCCAAGAGCUUCAUCUCAGACGCUACAGACCUCAAUAAGCAUGUUAAAUGUCAAAGUUCAUGACAGGACAAGAACACUAAGCAAGUGUUAAUUGAGCCACAAGUUGAGAUGUUUUACUAAAGUAUACAAGACUAGUUUAGCAAAAGCGCAAAAAAGAAAAAAAUUGUGGUCUUAAAGACCUCACAGACAAAGUCAUGGUAGUUUAGGCUGGUAAUUUAACUCCAUGAAGAUGUCAGACAUGAAAGGUGUCUGACAUCUUCAUCAUCCUCAAUGGAAAGAAGUGACACAGGAAAGAGGAAUAAACUGAUAUCUCUCCCCAAACGUACAGUUCUUUUUACUAUGACUGCAGGCCAGAUGGGCCAACCAACUUUUAUUCUGAAGUUUUUCAACUUUGGAAAAAGAAAAAAAAGCAAGGCACUAAGAGCAGGUUGCUCCGAUUGUGUGAAAUGACUGGUAAAUCCCUGUAGUGGUAUUCUCCACUAUCAAGUUCAGAGACCUCCAAAGCACUUUGCACUACAUUCAGUCCUCCAGUCAUUCACUCAGACACAGAUACAACAGGUGAGUGAGGCUGCAGCAUAAAGCGCUUUGAUUGGUCGGUACGACCAAUCAAAGCUCUUCAUGAGUUCAUUCACCUUUCUGAAUGUUUCAUGGGUUCUUCUCAGAUUUACUCAGGUCUGAUGUUUCUGAGCUUUUCUCUAGUUUCUUUUUAUUUUAGGGUUUUAAAGAAUCAAAUGUUGGUUGAAGGUUUUGGGUAAAAAAUGUGUCAUCGUUAUUUUAUAUCCGUCUGUUUUUCGUUUAUGACGAUUUUAAUCCAACUAAAUGUUACUUUGAUUGAUUUUUUUUCUUUGUUUGCUGUUUUACUUUGUUAAACUUUCUUCCUUUUAAUUUUUUGUUUCAGUCUGAAUCUGUUGUGUUGCAAGAAAUCGAUGUAAAUAUUUGAUUUGUGCUGCAAAAAUAAAACUCCUUGAGGAAA